rnacentral:rRNA from 1 species
UACGUAGGAGGCAAGCGUUGUCCGGAGUUACUGGGCGUAAAGCGCACGCAGGCGGUCCUAUUAGUCUGGGGUGACAGUUCCCGGCUUAACCGGAAAAGGACUCUGGAAACUGUAGGACUUGAGGGCUUCAGAGGGAUGUGGAAUUCCGGGUGUAGUGGUGAAAUGCGUAGAGAUCCGGAGGAACCCCAGAGGCGAAGGCGGCGCCCUGGCUCGCAACUGACGCUCAGACACGACAGCAUGGGGAGCGAACGGG